AUUGAACGCUAGCGGGAUGCUUUACACAUGCAAGUCGAACGCAGUGGCGGACGGGUGAGUAAUAUAUCGGAACGUGCCCAGUAGCGGGGGAUAACUACUCGAAAGAGUGGCUAAUAACGCUUACUAUUGGUGCGGCCGUUAUCGGAUUAGCUAGUUGGUGGGGUAAAGGUUCACCAAGGCAACGAUCCGUCGCUGGUUUGAGAGGACGACCAGCCACACGAGGACUGAGACAUGGCCCAGACUCCUACGGGAGGCAGCAGUGGGGAAUUUUUGACAAUGGGGGAAACCCUGAUCCAGCCAUCCCGCGUGUAGGAUGAAGGCCUUCGGGUUGUAAAGUACUUUUGGCAGAGAAGCGGUAUAUGCAGAAUAAGCACCGUCGAACUACGUGCCAGCAGCCGCGGUAAUAC
rnacentral:rRNA from 1 species